rnacentral:rRNA from 1 species
CAAGAGCGUAUGUAAAAGUUGUUGCAGUUAAAAAGCUCGUAGUUGAACCUUGGGUUUGGUUGGCCGGUCCGCUUUUUUGUGAGUACUGGAUUCAACCGAGCCUUUCCUUCUGGCUAACCAGUCGUUUCGGCGGCUGGCGAACCAGGAUUUUUACUUUGAGAAAAUUAGAGUGUUCAAAGCAGGCAUUAGCUUGAAUAUAUUAGCAUGGAAUAAUAGAAUAGGACGUUAUGGUUCUAUUUUGUUGGUUUCUAGGACCAUCGUAAUGAUUAAUAGGGACGGUCGGGGGCAUCAGUAUUCAGUUGUCAGAGGUGAAAUUCUUGGAUUUACUGAAGACUAACUACUGCGAAAGCAUUUGCCAAGGACGUUUUCAUUAA